rnacentral:rRNA from 1 species
UACAGAGGAGCCAAGCGUUGUCCGGAUUGACUGGGCGUAAAGCGCACGCAGGCGGUCGCGCGCGUGGGGUGUGAAAUCUGGCCGCUUAACGGCCAGGCGCCAUCCCAUACGGCGCGACUGGAGUGAUGCAGAGGUCGGUGGAAUUGCCGGUGUAGUGGUGAAAUGCGUAGAUAUCGGGAGGAACACCAGUGGCGAAGGCGACUACCUGGCCUGUUCUUGACGCUGAGGCGCGAAAGCUAGGGGAGCAAACGGG